rnacentral:lncRNA from 1 species
CGGCUUUAGAUCAUAUUAGGAAUUGGUCAAUCAGGUCCUUGCAAGUACUAGGUCAUCGCUUCCGCCAAUGGUACUGCACAACAGCAGAUCGAUACCGAGAAGUAGAAUAGAGUAAACUUUGUUUCCUUGUCACGUGCCACCCUGAUUUUGCGCGUGCCAACAGACCGUUUGCAAGUUUCACCUAGUGGAACUCAGAAGAGCACCAGUUGGACUUGAACAUGGCUGCAAACUGUCCAAACUUCCCUGUCUGUUUCCACAUGAUGUUGGGGCACAUGACUGUUGACUGUUUCUGUGGCGGCAGCCUGGCUGCUUGGCUGAACCUAUGCACCUGGAGGACGUCUGUAUAUACUACCCACCUUUUCGUUCAUACAAGUAGGUUGAUUGGUGUCCAACACCUGAUGUACAACGCCCGAUGGCCAUAGAGAGUGUGCGAAUGCCCUACACCCGUUUGUUAGCCCGAAUUACUGAGACCAGAGAGUAGCGGCAAUUUGCACGCUCAGCUAACUAGAAACACACGCUCACUAGUGCAGCGUACAAACACACAUGAAGAAAGAGCAGUGCUACUUGAGGCUUGGAGGAUUGAUAUUGAAAUGGCGUGAGUUACAACCGAGGGACUCGGGGGGGGGGGGGGGGGGUCCUUUUAUAGGUGAUUACAGCCGACUAUACAGCUGAGAUAUUUCUACUAGCUGGCCACCCAUCUCAUACGUGUACUAUACUAGAAACUGCUAGUACCCAUCUUGUCUUAACUGCUAAGCAGCGCAAGUGUUAUCUUUACGUGCUAUCUUUAGUGGACACAUAUUUUAUGUGGUAAAAAUUAGAGAUCAUUAUGACGAAAACUUGAUGCACAUCGUGUAGAAACAGGACCCUGCCCCUACCAAGUGAGAGGGUUUCGAACAAAACUUCCGCUUUACACAUACAACUCAUUUCUUGUAAAUCGUUUCAACUUCAAACUUUUUUCAUGAUUAGUACACACCAAUGGAAGCCCCAUGAUCAAAUUAUGCGUCUUUUUGAUUUGGUUUGUUGGUUGAUACACCUGAGUGUGGCUGGCUGAUUGUUUGUUUUCUCCUGGGGCUAUCCAGAGAUGGGUCAGGAGGAGAUAUUGGACUUUGAUUUUUCUCUGGUGCAUCUCUAAUAAAAUACAUAUAUACAGGCCCAUCCGAAAUGCCAGGGUUAGCCUUCGCCCACCAUGUUCAUCUUGUUGAUCUCCACCAAGAAGGUGUACCACAACAUUUACCAUUUAUCUGGUGUGAUGUUGGUGCUGUAGAAAGCUAAUCCAUAAUCGCUACAAGCCUACAACAGAACAGACUGAGGCUUAGCUGAAAUAACAGAAUGCGAAUGACUCAGUAUCUUAGUGUUCAAUUAAGUGCUUGACCAGACAAUCAAAGAUUUGAAGAGCAACUAAAAAUAUAACCUACACAAAGGACAAAGCAAUUGUCUUCCAGGAAGGGAGAUGACCCAGGCAUCUGCAUCAUUGUAAGGAGCAAGAUAUUGCAUCAUGGUCUUCUUUUCACCGAGCUAAGAAUUAUCAGAUUGUAUCACUGGAAUGAAUGGAAAAUUCAUUAAACGACCCUAAAAAAUAAACUUAGGAUCAAAACACCUUGAAUAAAAGCAAUAUGCCUCUGCAGCUCUACUGUUAUACUAUUAACAAUGUUGCCUCUUCAUUAUAAAGUACAAAAACGAAUAGGUAUGCCAUAUCCUAUUGUUGCCUCCAAGGAUCGGUGUUUGUGAUUAUACGGCACCAGGCUCUCUUUAACUUCCGUUCCCAAAUCCCGAGUUUCUGACAACAUGUUGGAGGUUAUAUGACAAAAGAAUUCUUGGUCACUGAGAGUGUUUCUUGCUCAGGAUUUCUUAUAUUCAACUAACUAUAGGAAUUCAAUUUCACACUGUUAUGACAUACUUAAUCAGAGUCUCAUAUGCACAAGCAGUCUAGGGUCAUUCAAGGACCUGUACCCAACUCUAGGAAUAAUUGUCAGCUCCACUGGAGCUUAUUACAAUAAAGGGAAAAUGGACCAAAAGUUUAUUUAUUCAUGGCCGAGAUUAAGUAAAUGGGCUGGCCUUGAGAAAAAUCUUUAUUGUGAAGGCUGCGAAAGAUUUAAUUGAGGUUCGAUCAUCUUAUCAUGUUCAUAAGGUUUAUAAACAUUCACUGAUCGAGCAUGUAAGCAGUACACGACCUUGUUCCUUGUCUGCAUAGCUUGGUUUUUAAAGAGAAACAUCAGGACUCUGCUGCAUAUUUCCAUUCCUUAUUUACAUCGUGAAGCUGGGGUAUGGUUUGUUGGUGAAGGUCACUCAAGUUUCGUAUUGCCCUCUUUAGAAGUCAUACAAAAGAGGAAUGCUUUAAGAUAACACGUGGCUGACCUUCAGCAACAAACCGUACAUGGUAGUGACUGAGAACUCUUAUUGAAAUUUUCAGUCUAUUAUCCAUUUUUUCCAAGGUCAAGGCGAUUGAGUUUUGUAGACACCACAUGGUCGUGAGAGUCUUCGUGCCGUGUCUGUGUCUGUGUCAAAUAAAGUUAAGCACGUACUAAUGGGAAAUGCAUUGGAGCAUCCGGGUGCCACACACACCUAUAUGAAAAUAGCAUUAAAAUAAUAUAAUAAAAGUGUAAAAUUCUAAAAUUCUGGUACAUGAAACUUGUGUGCCCAUUAUACACCCGUGCUCAUUUUGGUGGGGAAUGGGUGCCCGUGGUAUCACGGCGAAGGAAUUACAUUCCGACAUACAUUCAGUUUUUUUCUACACAUAGGAUUUUUUUGUCUUUUUACUGACAUUAACACGGGCACCCAUUUUCCAUGAAACUGAACACGGGUGUACAAUGGGCACCUAGGUUUCAUAUUCCAAAAUUUCAGUAAUUUUUGAAAUUUACUAAUAUGUUUUUUGAUGCUAUAUUUAUAUAGGGGGUGUGGCAUCCGACAGACACAAAUCCUCUACACUAUGGUGCUGCUUAUUUCGAUAACUGGUGCAGUGGAAACCUUAUUUGAAAUUAAGUGUUAUUUGAAUAUAAUCUCCCUCUUUUAGGAAAAGAACAUAAUCUUGAGAGUCAACAGCACUAGAUGUUUAGGUGAAACAACAUAAUUCUGUUACUAUAGAAGGUUCAAUACUUGACUGAACGCUGAAACAUCUGCUGAGGUUGUUGCGACCUAUACAUAGAAAAAAUAAUUUGCAAGACGAAAUUGUUUUUGUUGAACUGGAAACUAGAGAACUGGAUGCCAUUGGCCUGUCAAAAUUUAAGUGAACUAUCCUGAAGAAAAAUGAAUAAAUUCAAUAUCCGAAAACCUGCUACUAACAUAAUGUAUUUCUGCGCUAUACUUAAAAGGUUACAUGUCUGAUUUAGAACAGAGCUAAAAAGUUACUGAUAAUCCUUUUGUUGGCUGCAUUGUUCAUGGGAUCCUCCUACAUGAAUAUUUGGCUCUGGAUUCUGUAUAACUCUGCCGGAAUCCUGAUACUCUAUUAAAAAAUUUAACAUAAAACUAUGCCAUCCGGCAAACUUAUUUUGACAAAGGGUUAAUUUUAUUGGUUUGAAAUGGAGAGGGUACACAUACGAUGGUCACACAUGCCGCCUCUGCAUAGUUAAAGUGCACACAAACAACAUCAGCGCAUGCAAACAAAAAAAUACGCCGAGUAAUAACAUUUAUAUAAGACCAAAGUUUUGUGUAGAUGAGGAAAAAUGAAAAGAAAAACCCAAAGCGAUCCGACAAGCGAUCAGAAACUGCAACAAUGACCAUAUCCACCCUAACCAUCUCAUGACACCACAUGGACAAUGAUGUUCUUCAACAUCAACGCGUCUUCAGGAAGGGAGGGACCACUAGUAGAAAAAAGGUCUUUAGCCCCGGUUCGGUUGGGCCAUUAGUCCCGGGCCUAAUGCUAGCCCCGGUUCGGCACCGAACCGGGGCUAAUGGCCUUCCACGUGGCGGGGCUGGGAGCGAGGGGGGGAGGGGUAUUAGUCCCGGAUUGUAUUACGAACUGGGGUUAUUCCUUCGCUGUUUUUUAUGAGCAAUUUUUGUGUUAAGGGUUUUGCACUAAAUUGGAUCGGGCUAUUUUGCUGCCCCCUAUUUUCUCAUUUAUUUGUUUUGGAUAUUUUUUAAUUUUUGUUUUGCACUAAAUUGGAUUGCACAUACACACCAAUAAAAAAAACAACUUGCACAUCGUUACGAAUAUAUUACACCAUCUCAUCCGUCGCGCUUUGUCGAACGUACUUACAAAAUGUAGACACGAGUUACAUGCACAUAUAUGCAUCUUUUUUACACUAUAUCAUUUCAUAUCUUUCUCGCCGGAUGGCAAUAGUAUUCUUCCUUGGGACCUAGGACCUCUUCAUCAAAGAAUCCGGCAAUUUCCUCUUGAAUUGCUCGUAUACGUUCCUGUGGUAGAAGACCGUCCCGCAACCGUUCGAUCUAAUUUAAAGAAUGGGUCAAUAUAUAUAUAUAGGGUCGCGCUAUUCGUCAUCCUGGGUGAGGAAUAGUUAUUCUUCACCCCCACUAUUUUAACAUCAAUGCACCGUAAUUUUACGUUUCGUAAAUUUUAUCUUAUUUUAUAUGUAAAAACAGACCGUAAAAUAAUAUAAUCAAUGUAAAAAUAUUUUAUGUCACGCAAAAUUACGACCAUACAAAAAUAGUGCAAAAAAUACAAUAAACUCAAUUUUUUUGUCUUGUAAUCUAUAUUUUUGUUUUUCUUUUGUCAAAUUUUACGCAGUGGUUCAAUAUAAAUGUAAAUAUUUGUAUUUCAAAUGUAAUUUAUUUGUAAAUUGGUCAUAAUAUUAUCUCGGGUGAAGAAUAUACUAUUCUGCACCCUGGAAAAAUACAUCUUACCACCCAGGGGUAGUUACCCCACAUGUUCAAUAUACUACCAUGCGGGAGUAUAUAUACUGAUUUAUCAUUUUAAUUAUGUUCAUAUACUGUAUACAAGAUUUUUCAAAGUGAGUUACAUGAAAAAAUUACAAGUUCACCCAUAGUUUUUAUUAUAUUUGUGAAAUACAUAUAUAUUUGUAUGUAAAAAAGAGCAUACACAAAAUAUGAUACAUACUAUAAAAAAAACAGUAUAUAUACUACCUAAACAUGAUUAUAUACUACAUACUACGCAUACAUACUCUCUAAUUUGAUACAUACUCCAUACAACAUACAAAACGCAAGUGGUGGUAACUACCACCGGUGGUAGAUAAAAUUUGUCCUAUAUAGGAAAAAUAUAUCAAUGAAAUCGAACACAAUUCACAGUAAUAAAAUAAAGCUGUGAGUAUUGUUUAUCGUACUUCGAUUUUUUUGAUGUCCCGGGUUUUGCCCUUCUCAUGGGUCGUCUCGCGAAUGAACUCGCAAACAUAGUGUCCACAUAAAUUGUUUCCCUAUUCCUUCCUCAAGCACUUUACGAGAACAGAGUUCAAUCAAAAACAUAAUUAAGAAUUAUAAUGGUAUCGAAACUAGAAUAAAGAGAUGCGUGGAUCUAGCUAGCAGUUACUUACAUUUGUUUGUUUAAAUGUAAGCUCUAGCUUCCAAUCACCUCGAGUCUUGGCGAUGAACCGUUUUCAAGCCCUGCCUAGAAAAGGAAAUGAAUAAAGGAGGUCUAUAUUAAUUCCUGUUGCUAUGAGGAAAUGAACGAGAAGUUACCGAUGUAGUGUCAUAAUGAUUGAAAUUACUUCUGGAGGCAUUCCUGCAUGUCCGUCUAUGCAGUGAGGGAUGUGUGUUUUGGGUCCAUCAUUAUUACUUCUCCUUUGUCAGGUACAAUGAUUAAUAAAAUAAAGUGAAACCUGCGCGCCCAUAACGAAUCAAUUAUACCUACACUUAUAAUAACAUUGAGUAAGCGAAAAUAGAAUGUGUGUAUAGUAUAACACUCACUUGAAGUUGUAAGGAAAUAGUAUUUCCCUUUUGGUACUCGAAAACCUUAACGUUUUUAUCAAGUUAUUCUUUGUAUCGUGGGGAUUCGUUUCGACACUUUGGUGAUGAUUGUAAUAUGGGUCAAUGAAUCCAAUGUCAUAGAUUUGUCCUCUUUUGCAUUCGAGAAUCUUCAUUCUGCAAAAUUAAUAUUCCUAAUCUUCAAGCGCAUUUCAUCCAUCUUCGAGCGCAUUGCCUCCAUCUUCAAGCGUUGUGCAUCGAUCUUCAACAACAUCGCAGCGAUCUUCAUCUUGCGAUCAUCGAUGACAUCGGCGACAUGCAACUCCAGUUCCAUAUUCUUGUCCUCAAUUAUUUUCAAUUUUUCCUUCAAGUAUUUGUUUUAUUUUUCAACCAAAUUUAACUUCUCGAGAAGAAUUUCUAUGUGGGUUGGAAUUUCCGGUUCAACUACCUCCUAGAUUAAAAAAUAUAUGUCACGUUGGUCGUCAUAAUUGUCAUAAACAAUAAAUAAAACAAAUAGUUAUAAAAGAUAAUAUAUAGCACAUCCGAAUCAUAGACAGGACGAGGGUCGACGGAGGCGGAUACCAAAACCAUCUUACUAUAUAAUAAUAAUAAUAAGUAAGUAAUUUAUACAAGUAUGUAUCUAAAUCAUACAAGUAAGAAUUUUAUUUUCUUUUAAAAAGAAGACAAGAACAAGAGCCUCACCACGAUGGUCGCGACGAGAUCGGCGCGGGGCGAUCGACAACGGUGAGGACGGGCACGGAACGGCAUCCUACCCAUGUGCAGACUCUAAGAAGUUAAUUUGAGCAUUUCAAAUAAGCUAAACUAGCAGUGACACAUGAAAGGAUGAAGUAACUAACCUUUUAAAACACUUGUGGAGUUGGUGCACGGCCAAACGUAGGCAAAUAUUGAGGAAAAUGGAGUUUGGAGGUCGAGUUUGGAGAGGACAAAGCUUAACUAGUGUGGCUCGGGCAUUUCAUCGAACACGUCAAGUGCAUGAACUAGAGUGGCAAGGGUUGCAUAUGGCAUGGGCACACUUCAGCCAAAAAACAGAGAGAGUGGACAGGGGCGACGGUAUAUAUAGGCAGAACUUUAGUCCCGAUUUUUCUCUAAACCCGGGACUAAUAGUCUUCCUUUAAUCCCGGUUCGUGCCACAAACCGGGACUAAUGAUCCGCCGCAUGCCACGUGGGAGUCGGUGGAUCUUUAGUCCCGGGUUUUUCCCGAACCGGGACUAGUGAGGUGAACCGAACCGGGACCAAUGUGCCGGCAAACCGAACCGGGACCAAUGCCUGCCAUUGGUCCCGAUUUUGAUUCGAACCAGGACUAAUGAUCUUUCGGCCCUCGGCCGAAAGACCCAUUUUCUACUAAUGGACGCUCAAGCACCGCCGCUGAAAAAGCAAACCAUCCAAGAUCAAAUUAAACUUCUAACCCUAAAGAACCAGUACGAGAUGUCCGAAAAGAACCAGUCCGAGAUGUCCAAGCAUAUACGAGGGUUAAAUCAAUACAACAAAUAUUUCUAGGGUUCUUAUAAAUAUCAAAAUGGUAAUAGAGAGGUUAGUCUCACGACGUCGAUCCAAAAUUCAUCUACCACUUCAACGGUGUACUUUCCUUGGGGAGAUUAAUCUCCUCUCUCCGGGGGUGCAACACCUGAUCGAUCUAAGAAUUGAUCCAUACUUUACGUCAAUUUCUUUGAUUAGAUCAAUUCUAUAUUUUGAAAUUAUAAUACUCCCUCCAUUCCGUUAUACAAUGUUACUAUUAAAAAUACAUUUCAAAUAUGUUAUACGAGGCAUGAAUUAAUAAUGUUUCUUCGUACUAGCAACGUGUUUUAUACUUGCAUGCAUGUAGCUAGUGAUAGUGACAUUUAGCUACUUUCUUAGCAUUCCUUCCUUACGUGCAUGUUGGCUUGCAUGUUGGAACUCACACUACUUGCCGUAGAUCGGAUCGCCAUCGUAUGUCGGUUCGCGAACCGGGACUAAUGCUAGCCCCGGUUCGGCCCGAACCGGGGCUAAAGACCUUCCACGUGGCGGGGCUGGGAGCGUGGGCGACGAGGGAUAUUAGUCCCGGCCGGUUCGUGUUACUUAUUCAAAAUGCACCAUUCAAAGAUACAUCAUGAAUUUUCAACAAUUUCAGACUUUAUUUGAUAUUUUUCAUGCAUUUACUUAUUUUCUUUAGUUAAUUGACCCUGAAAUUAAAAAGCAUUACAAAUGAACUCUAAAAAGGUUGAAAUUUGGCAUGAUAUCAUCAUUUCACCCAGAAUAGCAUGUGCAAAAAAGUUGAGAGGGUUACGGCAAAAAUUAGAUGCAUUUCGUGUACAAAACGGACAAUCUUUUUCGAAGUAUCAGGGUUUCGACCAAAAACUCAUCUGUUACAAAGGGAUUUCGUUUUUUUGAACUUUUUUGAACUCCAGACUUUUUUAUGUGUUCAAAAUGCACCAUUCAAAGGCACAUCACAAAUUUUUAACAAUUUUCAAACUUUAUUUGGUAUUUUUCAUGCAUUUACUUAUUUUUUUAGCUAAUUGACCCUGAAAUUGAAAAGCACUACAAAUGAACUCUGAAAAGGUUGAAAGUUGGUAUGGUAUCAUCAUUUCACCCACAGAGCAUGUGCUAAAAAGUUAAGAGGGUUACAACAAAAACUGGAUGCACUUCGUGUACAAAAUGGACAAUCUCUUUCAAAGUUUAAUACAUUAGUACACAUCACAUAAAGUUUAUACAUUACAUAGAUUGAUAUUACGAUCCUUUGCCUAUGAUCGCUUUGGCCGUAUAAAUGGAGCAUCUUUAUUAUUUAACGGGAUGCUUGGGUCAAUUCUCACUAUAAAGGACGAAAUUUCAUCAAACUUAUUAUAAUCUGCUGACCUGUCUGUCUUGUCCUUGAUUCCCACGAUGUUUCUUUUUCCUCAAAGAACUAUGUGAUGCUUUGGCUCAUCGUCCGAUGUAUUCAUUUCCUUACUUUUUCUUUUUUUCGGUCUGGAGCACAUGUCUUUCAUGUAGAAAAUCUGAGCCACAUCAUUGGCUAGGAAAAGUUCACCUGGCAAGCCCUGGUGAAAUCGAGUCCCAAUUUUUCUCUAGUUUUUUUUAUAUAUUAAACUCUUUUUUUUUGACAUCGUAUGUAAAAGUUAUGGGGGUUUUACAUUUUUUUCCCUUUUUUGGAAAAAUGGUCAAAAUUCCUAUUUCAAAAUUUGUAUACCAACUAGACACUAAAACCUAACUACAUCUCAAAAGAUUUUAUUUUUUAAAGAUUUUAUCAUUUUUUUUAUUUUCUACAAAUCUAAAAAAGACGGUCCAGGGGGUUGGUAAAAAGGUGGCACCAGCCACAACGAGCAGUAGUGCUGCAUAACAGAAAGCGUUGUUGCUAUGCUAGUAGCAGUGCUUGUCACAUGCCCACUAGCAGCAGCGAUGCUGCAAAACAAAGCGCUACCGCAAAGCACUUAGCAGCAACGCUGGAUUUUGGACAACGCUGCUACUACAGCUACCGUCGGUGGCAUCGUUUGGUCCCACAUAAUAGUAGCGCGUUUUUAAUAAGCAACGCUACUGCUAAGGUGUUAGUAGUAGCACUUAACUGGAUCAGCGCUAUUGCUAAUUAGCAGCAGCGUUUUCUAUUUUCCAGCGCUACUAUUGAGGUCCUGCCUAUAAGAUUUUUUCUAGUAGUGACUGGUCGAGUAUCGACGCAUGUGAAAUGACAACCCUACUCUUUAUUAUGAAAAGGUACAGAGAGAUCUAAGCCGUCAAUGUAUUUAGGAGGGGGGUUCUACCGAAGCAAAUAUGAUCACUGGUGGAAAAAGGGCCUUUGGUCGCGGUUCGCAACUGCCAUUAGUCGCGGUUGCGCAACCGCGACCAAAUAGGCGCGACUAAAGGCCCCCCCCCUUUAGUCGCGGUUGCUUAAGAACCGCAACUAAAGGCCCGUCCACGUGGGCGCCAGGCGGCCGUCGGGGCGGAGGACCUUUAGUCGCGGUUCUUCUGGCCAACCGCGACUAAAGGCCGCCGCAGGUUUAGGUAGCCCCCCCUAAACCUGUUUUCUGUUUAAUUUGUAUUGUUUUAUUUCUUUUGUGCUUUAUUUUAAUUUUGAAGGAGUUUUCACAUAUUCUACGGUUACAAAUUUUAUCACAAUGGGGCAAAUAAUAUACCAUUGAAAGCUACAAAAAAUGCAAAACCUUUACAAGUAGUUUUUACAAACUUUUUUCCAUAGUUUUUACAAACUUUUUUCCGUAGUUUUUACAAAUUCUAAGAACUGAGAGAGGCGCGCGCGUGCGCACNNNNNNNNNNNNNNNNNNNNNNNNNNNNNNNNNNNNNNNNNNNNNNNNNNNNNNNNNNNNNNNNNNNNNNNNNNNNNNNNNNNNNNNNNNNNNNNNNNNNAAUAGCAUACGGGCGCGCAAAAUCACGCUGAAUAUCAUCAGUAAAGUAAAACACGAAGCCUGCAGCGCGACUCGUCAUCAAUUGCGGGACAGAAAGAUUCAUCUUGAUUACCGUCGUGGUGAGGUUGGACGCAGGGUUCCGGCGGCCAACCUUGCCGCAGAAGCGAGCGGCCGGAGCCGACUGCCGGAGAGCGAGCCCAACAGAAGCAGAAGAUCGGAGCAUCGCCAUCGUGCGCUCCGAUUGAGGGCUGGAGGAAGAUGCGGCGGCGACGACGACGCCGAUUUGGGAUCUCCGGUGGCGACGGCCUCCGCCUCUCGAUUCGAUCCUGAGUCGCGCUUGCCGAAGACGGGUCACGGUUGCUCGGGGUCUCGUUGCAAUAUGGGGCCGGCAUGUGAUUGAAGCCCACCCGCUUCACGGACUCAGAGUCCGUCUAAGAGUCCUCUGGAAAAAAAAAGGAACCCCCUUAGUUGUUGGAAUGUUCGGCCUAUCGUCUGCUCGAUGAAACAAAAGGGGAAUGAUCUGCACCGGCGUGCCGGUCGAAACUUUCGGCAGGCCAAGCGCGAGCCGUAGGAUCCACCAACCCCGCGUCGUUGGAUCCGCAUGCAACAUUUUUUCUUCUAUGCAGCAAAAUUUUGAUGCGAUGCAACAAUUUUUUCAACGGUUGCAACAAAAAACAAAAUUUGUAGGAAAAAAAAUAUCUACAUGAUCGUAGCAAAAAAUGAAGCUGAUGGUGCGUGGUAGCAAAAGUCAAACGCCGGUUGUAGCAAAUAUUUACGUGACGCGUAUGCAACUUUUUUAGUGAACGGUUGCAGCAAAACAUGAUGCCGGUUGUAGCAAAAAUUAACACGGUUGUAGUAAAAGUAAAAAACAUCAAUUGUAACGAAAAAUCCAACGAACUGGAGUUGCAACCAAACGUAUAUGCAGUUCUUUUACUGGGACAAAAAAAAGUAAAAAAACGCUUGCAGCAAAUAUGACGCUGGUUGCAACAUAUUUAGACGAAAAAUGUUGCAUCCACUGACCAGCGAAGCACGCGGAUGGGAAAAAUGUUGCAUGGGUCCACGCGCGUGAGGGGGCUACCGACGCGUUUGUUCGGUCGGCGCGCGGGUGGGAAACGAUUCCCAAACAAAAAUGCGGAGAGAAACAUGGCUUGAAGGGCGGCCACCUAAUUCAAACAAUGAGUGGGAGUUCAAGCUUUGGAAUAAACUUUGGAAGGUUGAGGUCCCGUCAAAAGUCAAGAUCUUUUUGUGAAGACUUGCUCAUCAGUCAAUUCCUACAGCAUAUGUACGUCACCACCGGAAUAUGUCAACCAGCACUAGUUAUGGUAUGUGCAGCUUUGAGGAUUCGUGGUAACAUUUUUUGCUCCAUUGUACUAUCUCCCGAUGCGUCUGGGCGUUACAGGAUGCAGACCUUUUCGAUACUUUAAACAAUACAAUGGGACCUGAUGCUAAAAGAUGGUUCUUUGCUCUUAUGGAUAUGCUUUCCACAAUGAAAUUUAUUCAGGUUAUAGUAACUCUUUGGACACUCUGGUACUCAAAGAGACAAGCUUUGCAUGAAAAUAUCUUUCAAAGUCCACUUUCCACACAUAAUUUAAUUCUAAAGUACAGCCGGGAACUGGAAGAGUGCAAGCCUAUGAGGGUUCCUACAAUAAGAGUGGCAAAUCAACGACAUGUUUCCCAAUGAUGGAUUCCACCACCACCUGGAUAUGUAUAGAUAAGGGUGGAUGGGGCUGUUGCAAGAAACGACAAUGAAGGCUCUUUGAGUGCAGUCUGCAUGGACUCGUCGGGACUCUAUUUAGGCUCAUUAGUAAUCAAAAUUCUCGGGAUUACACACCCAUUGAUGCUCGAAGCCCUAACAUGCCGUGAAGCGCUGGCUCUAGCUUCCGAUCUAGCAUUAUCACAUGUGAUUAUCGCCUCUGAUUUCCAAGGUGUGGUUAUGGCCAUUAACAAGCAAAUUGGAGGGACGUAUGCAAGCAUUGUCAAGGAGAUUGUAGACACCGCAAGAACCAUCAACGGCUGCACCUUCAUCUUUGAUGGUAGAGCUACUAAUCUUGAGGCACAUAGCCUCGCUAAGCACGCUUUUGGUCUGGACUUUGGGCGCCAUGUGUGGCUGCUAAACCCACCAGAUCUUCGAUGUAUUCCUAUGAACAUUAUUGAGCAAUAAUAAAGUAUGUUUAGACUCCAAAAAAAGUUGUGGAAUGUUCCUCAAAAAGGGGGGCAUUUACGAAUGUUUUGUUUUUUUAAACGGUCAACGGGGGGAGAAGAUCCCCAUCUCAAUAUAUUGCUCAAAAAGUUUUCAAAGCCAAGAGUCACCCCGUAAACUUUAACUGGUCGAGUUUAUAAGGGAAAAACCUAAACGAGUUGAACCUGUUUAUGAGGGAAAACGGCCGAAACCCGUACAGGUAAUAAGGUUACAGAACAUGAGAAAAAUUACCACCCAGGAGAAUGCAUGACCUAUCUAGAAGGCAGAAAGACCAACACCACGAGAGCCACACGUAGAUGUGGGGUUCUGUCGAGGGACCACAAUACAAAAACUCUACAAACAACCUAACGCACCGCACCGGCGUGCGUACCGAGCCCCGCGGCACAAUAGAGGAUCUACAAUAAUUAAUGAGUGUCAAACCUUAACAUGAACUUUGAUUGGGAGAUCCACCACAGGCAUUCAAAAUGAUUAGCAGGUUGUGGAGGCAUCAUUGCGUCGUCAUUGAGAAAAAGUGAACCGAGACAACACCAAGAACCCAAAGUUUGCCGCAGCGCAACGACAACCAUGAGAGGGUCUUGAGCAUGCACAACAAUAGGACGGACACCACACGAAGGACAGCCGAAGAGAAACACAUGAAGAAGAAAAACAAACCACCGUGAGCCACAAGCUGGCCGCACCACCACCACCAAACGCACCACAACAACACCCACACGUCAACCAAGCAGACCCCAUGAUGAUGCCUUCAAGAAGGGUCGUGGCGCAGAUGCGCCAUCAUCACCCACACUAGGAGGACAUGGGCUAGGUUUUUUCCCUAGGGUCUCAACUUCCGUCUUCAUCUGACCCAGCAAGGAGAGCCUUGAAUGUUGGUCGUUUGGUUGCCACCCAACAAUACCCCAUACAAGGAAGAGGUGUCAUAUAUGAACGAGGUGGUAUAGAGAGGAACACACCUCGCUAACCCGGUUUCGGAUAGAAGAAACCGACCCACUCCAAAGAAUGGUCGAGCGAAGAUGACACCGACGGAGCAACACCUCCUCACUAAUACCAAACACGCCACUUUUGACCAUUAGCCAGCCGUACCACCACCACCAUCCGCACCCAUGGAUUUGGAUAGCCAUGGUUUGUGUAUGGAUGGCGGAAAGAAAUAAACUUUAUAUUUCCGUUUGGGAACCGCCAAUGAUGUGUUUAGCAUAGAUAUUGAAAACUCUAUCGUAACAUUGACAGUAAAAGCAUACCACCCAAAACUACAAUUCUUUUCUGUUUUAAACUCUGAGAUCUGGAACCUCCACAAAUCAAUUCUUUCUUUCGUGAAGGGCCUUUCAAUUUACUUUUAUGCUAUUUUCUUUUUAUUCUUUAGUCAUCAUUCUCUUACUGAAAGCACCAGACUAGAGAGCAUUAUUGUCAUUUUUAUGCAUUAGGUCUAGUUAAUGUUGAAUAUGAGCAUGACUGGAUCUUUCCUACCUUGAAUUCUAAUUUUUAGUCGUUGCUUGAAUCUCGGAGGUGCUCUGCAUUUAUGUUUUGCGGUUUAGAAAAGGGCUAGCGAAAUACCAUGUCAUUAUACUAUAUCAUGACUGUUUGGAAAAAGUGUUGGCAUGUGAGAUAUCUCAGUACUGCUUAUUAGUUGGUUAUGUAUUGACAUUAGUGAAUAUGAUGUUUAAAUUGCUAUCAUUGGUAUAGUUAUUUAUGAUUUUUAUUGAGAACCUGAACACUAGCUAAGCAUAUAUACAACAACAAGAACAAAGAGUUUGAAAAGUUUUCUUCGUCACUUUUGGUUUAUCAACUGAAUUACUUCAGGACAAGUAAUGAGUUAAGCUUGGGGAGUUGAUACAUCUCCAAUGUAUCUACUUUUAUGAUGACCCACAAGUAUAGGGGAUCAAUCAUAGUCCUUUCAAUAAGUAAGAGUGUCGAAUCCAAAGAGGAGCAGAAGGAAAUGACAAACGGAUUUCAGCAAGGAAACUUCUGGGUGAAAUCCCACGAUCUGGAUUUCGGAGGUUUGAUCCGGCAAUAGUUGCGCUUUUGUGUCGCUCGUUUCUUGGAGGCAUUGCUUUCUAAGAAUCUUUUCAUAGUUGUUAUGUGGUUAUGUCAUAGUUGUUGCCCAUGGUUGUUGUGGUAUAUCGUCUAUCGUUGUGUGAUCACUUUAGAUUUUUUUUUUCUUAUAUUUGUUCAUCUACCCAAGGAUAGCUUGGGUCUUUCAUGACUUUAGUUUUUGCCGGCAUGAGUUUAGUUUCUUGGUGUUGGCUCUCUUCAUCCAUUUAUGCACAUGCCGGGUAUUCACUUUGUAUGCUUGAUGCUUCAUUAUGAUUCAAUAAAGACAGCAUUUAAUCGAAAAAUCAAGUUUACGAUGUCCCAGAAAAGGACCGGGUAUCCAUGUGAGCAAUAGUUCUCCUUGUCAGUGAUGUGAAGAUAUAUUCACACCUGGUUACAUUUGAUUGGUGGAGUGAUACCAAUGCAGGACUGCAGGAGUCAGGCCACGAUUGCGCUGUGCAUAAUUUUCAGAAAGUAAUAUAAUGCUUCACGACAGCACAACUAUGUGCUGAGUUAUGCACAUUCAGUUAAAUAUGUACACCUUUCCAAUGUUAAGGUUAAGUACAAAGAUUUCGUGGGAUGAACUUAGAGUAUUUAGUUGGUUAUAUGCAAGAGAAUCAUUGCAAGCGCAAUGGUAGUAGCCGAACGUUGGUGUCGGAUUGAGAGUCAUUUGGGAAACACAGCGUAGAAAAAUAUGAGAUGUCCUUGGAUGAGGCGGUGCGUUUUUUGCUCGUCGGUCACUUGACCCUGUUCGAUGAAAUUCCAUUUGACAGCCAUCCGGCGUCUGACAUAUACCAGCUUUCUCAAGGUUCAAAGGCUCAGCCAUGCUACCAAGCUGCUGGGCAGUACUUGGGUAGAAUGGGGAUCUUCAGGGGCAGAGCUCGUCGAUCCGAAGCAGCACCUACAGAUCGCGUCGAGAUUAUGACCGUGCUAUAAGGAGUAGCAGGGCUUCGAGUUUUGGCCACUGUUGUAUUGAACCGGCUGAGUAAAUUCGGAGUGUCGUCCUUCGCUACACGCUGACAUGACGUGUUUAAACAAUUGUGAGAGCAUUUUCUUAGUAAGAAUAAGCAUCCUUCUUCGGGUAAAAUCCUUAAAAAUAAAAGAAGAUCCGACUGAGUAAGCCCUUAGUGAAGUAUUUUUACUUCACUAAGUUCUGACCGGACCUAACCGAUCCCUUAUAUAUGAUGGAGUAAUAUAUUUUUCAUUUCCAUUAUAUUUUCGGCCAGUUGCCUCUUUAUUUGGUUGAACGGCAUUUUGAUACACUGAACUACAUAACUCACCAAUUAUUCUCUAUGAGAACAAAAAAAACAUAAUUAGACACUUUAAAAAAUAUCUAAUUUUCAUAACAGUUCUCACUAGUUGGAUUAGUAUUUUCUCUAUGUCUAUCUCUAUUGGCUUCUUUCUUAUUCUAACAAUGGAUGCACAAAAAUCUAUCAAAUUCCAUGCUAUCAAUCGAUCAAUGUAAUUUUUUCCCAAUACCAAAACUUGCAUCCAUCCUACACACAACUUUGAGAAAAAAAUGAGGUACAAAUUGCGUCAAAUCUAGUGCACACAAAACGAUCACAAAAAGCACAUACCAAAUCUUUAUUGCACUUGAAGAGCACCCACCCAGGAUAUUCCGGCAUGGAGGAAACUCGGCGCAGCACAUGCGGAAGUGGUGGCAUUUUAUGACCGGUAACGGGGAGUCGACGAGCUG